ACUGAGGGUAAUACGCCAUAGCCGAUUACAACUGGAAGGUGUUUUCGGCUAAAGCUUUCGAGCGCCAUAGGAUGGGCUUGUGGCGGAUUAGGCUGUAGGUGGGGUAAUGGCCCACCAAACCUGUGAUCCGUGCGGGCUCUGAGAGGAGUAGCCCGGAGAAUGGUACUGAGACAAGGACCACAGCCCUACGGGGUGCAGCAGGCGCGAAACCUCUGCAAUGCACGAAAGUGUGACAGGGGAAUUCCACGUGCAAGCUAUGCUUGCUUUUCUCAAGUCUAAAAAGCUUGGGGAACAAGGGCUGGGCAAGACCCGUGCCAGCCGCCGCGGUAAUACGGGCAGCCCCAGUAGCGUUCACGAAUAUUGGGCCUAAAGCGUACGUAGCCGGCCAAGUAAGUUCCUAGUGAAAUCAUGCGACUUAAUCGUGUGAAUUGCCAGGAAAACUGCUCGGCUUGGGAUCGGGAAGGGUCGGAGGUAUUCCUUGGGUAGGGGUAAAAUCCAAUAAUCCUUGGAGGACCAUCGGUGGCGAAGGCGUCCGACUGGAACGUGUCCGACGGUGAGGUACGAAAGCUAGGGGAGCGACCCGGAUUAGAUACCCGGUUAGUCCUAGCCGUAAAUGAUGCAGGUUUGGUAUUGCCCUCCUUACGAGGGAUGGCAGUGCCGUAGGGAAGCUGUUAAACCUGCCGCCUGGGGAGUACGGCCGCAAGGCUGAAACUUAAAGGAAUUGGCGGGGGAGUACUACAAGGGGUGGAGGCUGCGGUUUAUUGAC
rnacentral:rRNA from 1 species